UGCUCUGGUGGCCAAGUGGUUAGGUCGUCUGCCUCAGAUGCGGGAGAUCGUGGGUUCGAUCCCGGUCGAGUCAU